UACGUAGGGGGCAAGCGUUGUCCGGAAUCAUUGGGCGUAAAGCGCACGUAGGCGGUCCGUUAUGUCGGACGUGAAAGCCCUCGGCUCAACCGAGGAAGUGCAUCCGAAACUGGCGGGCUAGAGUACGAAAGAGGGUCGCGGAAUUCCCGGUGUAGAGGUGAAAUUCGUAGAUAUCGGGAGGAACACCGGUGGCGAAGGCGGCGAUCUGGGUCGAUACUGACGCUGAGGUGCGAAAGCGUGGGGAGCAAACAGG
rnacentral:rRNA from 1 species